GAUGAACGCUGGCGGCGUGCUUAACACAUGCAAGUCGAACGAAGCACUUUAUUUGAUUUCCUUCGGGACUGAUUAUUUUGUGACUGAGUGGCGGACGGGUGAGUAACGCGUGGGUAACCUGCCUUGUACAGGGGGGAUAACAGUUGGAAACGGCUGCUAAUACCGCAUAAGCGCACAGCAUCGCAUGAUGCAGUGUGAAAAACUCCGGUGGUAUAAGAUGGACCCGCGUUGGAUUAGCUAGUUGGUGAGGUAACGGCCCACCAAGGCGACGAUCCAUAGCCGACCUGAGAGGGUGACCGGCCACAUUGGGACUGAGACACGGCCCAAACUCCUACGGGAGGCAGCAGUGGGGAAUAUUGCACAAUGGGCGAAAGCCUGAUGCAGCGACGCCGCGUGAGCGAAGAAGUAUUUCGGUAUGUAAAGCUCUAUCAGCAGGGAAGAUAAUGACGG
rnacentral:rRNA from 1 species